GUCUACGGCCAUGCCACCCUGAACGUGCCUGAUCUCAUCUGAUCUUGGAAGCUAAGGGUUAGUACCUGGAUGGGAGACCACCUAGGAAGGGUCGGGCCUGGUUAGUACUUGGAUGGGAGACCACCUAGGAAGACCAGGUGCUGUAGGCG
rnacentral:rRNA from 1 species